CGGGGUGAGUAACGCGUGGAUAACCUGCCUCACACAGGGGGAUAACAGUUAGAAAUGACUGCUAAUACCGCAUAAGCGCACAGUACCGCAUGGUACAGUGUGAAAAACUCCGGUGGUGUGAGAUGGAUCCGCGUCUGAUUAGGUAGUUGGUGGGGUAACGGUCCACCAAGCCGACGAUCAGUAGCCGACCUGAGAGGGUGACCGGCCACAUUGGGACUGAGACACGGCCCAA
rnacentral:rRNA from 1 species